rnacentral:lncRNA from 1 species
GAAGUUCAGACGUUAGGAUUCAGGGUUGGAAUAUCACCAGUCUUAACUGGAAAGGGCAAGACUAGCAGUUUUUGCAAGACCAAGACCGUGUACCCUUCUACUCGGAAGUCAGAGUUGGUGCCACCUAAGUGGGUUCCUGAUGCAGGGGAUUUGAGGACAUCCUCUUCCUUCAACUAAUUGUGAUUUGCAUCGGAAGAGGAGCCUGUGAAUUCAGAGGCUGGGCCGCCGAGGGCCGAACGUUCCUGUCCAUAAAAACAGAAGCCUGGCCCGGGCCACUCUCUUGUGUGAAUCUGCAAAGCCAGCUCCUCUCCAUUGGUUUGGUUUUGUUUCUUGUAUCUCUGGGAAGGCAGGCAGACAGCACGGUCACCUGUGAAUGCAGCCACAAUUGGCUUAGCUGCCUCACUGAUAAAUGUGCCCCGAGUAAGCUACAGAGGGAUUAUCAGCGUUCCCAGCAGCUAAAGGUAUAAUCAAGUGUAAAGGAGGCAUGUGUCACACCGACUUUCAGAGAGAAGACCCUCCCCAUAAGACAGAUGUCUUUGAUUAUGCAGUGCAGCUUGCCCAUGUAAACCUCUUGCAUUGUUUGGAGAUCCUAUCCCAUGCCAAGGAUCUAGCCACCCACAAGCAGGCACAUUGCUGUCCAAACAGAUGGACAAGGGAGAUAGGCAAGCCAAAGCCCAUGGACGAACAUGAAAUGAAUUGGUGCAGAGAAGCCAAAGGUAUUGGAAAUGAAUGCUAGUCUUUGCUGUUCAGUUUCCAGUGUAAGGAUGGACCAGUGUGGAUGAGGCUUCGAUACUGAGCUGCAAACAAAGGAAAAAGUGAAUGAGUACAAUAAGCUGGAUGUUUCAACAGGUGCAUGAAAGCCCACACGAGCAUGAGUAGCUCCGAAAUGCUUAAGUCAGUGCACCUUUAUGUCAUCUUCAGCGGAGUCAGUUCUGAAAAGACACCCCUGGGCCAAUCACCCAUCAACAAUCAUUCAUUCUUUAUUCAAAAAAUAUUUGUCGAGCAUCUAACAUGUUGGAGACACUGGUCGGCACCAGGACCUUGUGGAACGAGCCAACUCCCUCCUGUGACAGCAAUGGUUCUUCAAGGUUUCUCCCCUGGGAACUGCGGAAGAUUUCCCCAGCAAAAGGUAGAAGCUUGAUGUCUUAUAGAUGAAGACUGGGGAGACUGGGAAGACCCAUCCAGGGUACUGACACUGGUCUUCGGGGGCCAGGAUCCCUGCUCAUGCCUCAAGCUACCUGUAAUGAAAAGUCCAGUGUCUGCCACCUGUCUCACAGAUCUGUCCUGAGGAUUAAUGAGAUCAUGUCUGUAGAUAAAGCCUGAGAAGUCUUCAGAAGGAAAUUACAGGAGGAUUCUUAUUUUGGGUGGCCACCUUGCAGAGGACCAUAGAAUUUUGGGUGAGCCCCUCAAUGCCUGGAUUUACUGUUGGAGAGACUGUGCAGUCUAACAUUAGAUAAUUUACUGUGAAGCGUGGAAACAUUUGAAAAGGAAACCAUGCCUGACCCCGGCUGUUCUCAGACUUUGUCAAAAGGAGAAUUUCCCAUUCUUUCAGCUGUGACAGACUUGAUUGUUAAGACAAAUUGGUCAGCAAAAUUCCUAAAUCUGAAAACUACUGUCAGAACAAGGCCUUUGGAGUUAGAAAGACUACUUCGUGACUUACCAGCUAUUUGAACUUGAGCAAGAUAAUUACUUUUCUGAGCCUUGAUUUUUCUCAUUUAUAAAAUGAAGAUCAGGAGUUCCCAUUAUGGCUCAGCAGGAACAAAUCUGACUAGCAUGCAUGAGGACUCAGUUUCAAUCCCUGGCAAUGCCGGAUCCUUAACCCAUUGAGCGAGGCGUCCAGAUGGUACAUGAGCAGUGAAGAAUGGGUGGAUAUUUUAAGACAUCUUAACUAAGGUCCUUCUGUUCCUGAGAGAUGCCACAUCCUCUUUCAUCAUAAUAUUCUUCAAAAAUAUGAAUUCAUUUAUUCAGUUUUUAUUGAGUGAUUUCUCUGCAUCAGGCACCCCAGAUUCUGGUUCUUAUGGAACUUACCUUCUAGUUGGGAGAAAAAGACACAAACAAGUAACAGGAUCAUCAAGCACUGAUAAUGACAAUGAAGGAACUGGUAGAUUGUGAUAAGAAGCUAAGGUUUGGAACUCACUUGAAUCAGAGUCCAACCUGGCCCUCCGCUUGACCUUAGGUGAGGGAACGGAGGCUUAAAAAGAUUAAAUAAUUUGUCCAAGACCACAUGGCUCAUAACUGGUGGAGCUACAAUUUAGAACCAGAUACUUGUUUCCAGAGCCUUCUGCUUUUGGGCCCAUGAUGAGGACAUGAAAGAGCAAAAUCUUCUGGAAGACUAGAAAGUUGUAUCCUUUUGCAUGUGGAGUCUUUAAAAGAUGUACCUUCACACGGUGGCUUCUUUACCAACAGUUCUUAUAUGGCAGGCGAAGGAUGUAACACUGAAAGGAUAGAUGAGCAAGUAAAAUCCCACCUCUUAUUGCUUGUGAGGAAAUCCAUUAAUGUAUUUACUCUCUAUCCUGAUGGUGGACAAAUGGGACAACCAUAGAGAGCAGAAACUGGAAGUCCAGUCUCUUGACCCCUUUACAAUAGGUCACUCUUAGGGUGACAAGGGGCAAAACCAAUACACCAGAAUAUCUAGCAGGGUCAGAAGGUGAAUAAUUUCUUCUUCCUUCGUCACAUUAGGCUAGAUUGUGCUGCAAUAAGAAAUAAAUUCUGAAGCUCAGUGUUCAAAAGUAAAGGUUCAUUUCUCAGAAGGUCCCACUGUGGUCCUCUGGGUUAAGAAUCUGACUGCAGCAGCUCAGGUUGCUGCGGGAGCUUGGGUUUGAUCCCCUGCUCAGCCCAGCGGUUUAAAGAAUCCAGCACUGCUGUGGCUCUGGCAUAGAUCUCAGCUGUGGCUCAGAUUUAAUCCCUGGCCCGGGAACUUCCCUAUGCUGGGAGUGUGGCCAUAACAAUAAAAAUAAAUAAAUAAAUAAAUAAAUAAAGAUUCAUUUCUUACUCCUGCUGCCUGUUCUUUAGAAGCCUUUUGCUCCUGACGGUUUCAGGCAGCGACGUGAACUGAUGGAGCCUCUCACACCUGGAAUGUUCAUGGUUGCUGUGUAUGUAGGAGAAGAAAACUUAGGAAAUCGUUCACUGGCUCUUAAAAAUUCCUUGCCUGUAAGUGACACCUGUCACUUUUGCUAAGGAUUCAUUUUUUAAGGCAAAUCACAUAAACCCAGCUAGCUUCAAGUGCAUGGGGAAUUUGCUUAGAAGGAGAGGAAACUGAAACAUUGGUAAAUAGCAUUAAUGGCUCUAGAAUAAAAUCCCUCAAUCAUACUCAAAUACGCUUAACCAAAACCAGAUAAAAUUGUUCAGUUAAUAAAAUAGAUCUUGAUUAUUUCAAGCAGAUGAUCACAUAUUCCACCAUCAUGUUUCCCUUGGCCUUUGUUUGUCUGUUGGUUGGUCUUUCCCACACAGCCCUGAGCUUUUGAAGGCAGUGAGGGGUCUUAUUUAUCUUUGAUUAUUUAGUGUCUAGUGCAGUGUUAGCAGCAUAUGCCUUGGUCAGCUUGGGCUGUGAUAACAAAACAAACAAUAGAAAUCAAUUUUCUCACAGUUCUGGAAGCUAAAAGUAAGAUCAAGGUGCCAGCAUGGUUGGUUUCUGGUGAGAACUCUCUUCCUGGUUUGCAGAUGACUGUCUCCUCAUUCUGUCUUCCAAUGGCCCUUCCUUGAUCCACGCACAUGGGGGAGAAAGAACUCUCUGGUAUCUCUUCUUAAAGGAUACUAAUCCUAUUGGAUCAGGGCCCCAUCCUUAUGAUCUCAUUUAACCUUACUUACUUUCGAACUCCAAAUAAAGCUGCACAGGGCUUAGGGCUUCAGCAUAUGAAUUUUAGGGGGAUACAAACGUUCAGUCUCUAACAGCAUGGUAAGCCUCAUUGUUUCUUGAAUGAGUGGGUAGAUGAGUGAAUGAUUCCAGCUAACCAAUAGUCUCCCUUUAGUGCCCAGCCCCUGAGCACAUGCCACUUUGCCCAUCUUCCUCUCCCUUGCACUCUUUCUUCACUUGUGAGGUCCACUCAUCUUUCAAGACCCAACUAGAAUAUUGCUGCCCUAGGGAAACCCUUUCUGAUCUACACAACCUCUUGCACCUUCCCAAGCCUAACUAGUUGUUUUGUCUUCUUCUGGAACACUUGAUACCUCCCUCAGUUAGGAGAUAAUUAUAAUUUGGUUUUACAUAGUAAAUUGUCUCCCAUACUGGUCUCUGAGCCCCUACAGAGUAGGGACUAGUAAGUGGGAGGAGCCUGGUACUGGCCAUGGGACCUGACUCAUGUACAUAUUCAAAAUUUACUGGUCAAAUAAACAACUGCACUAAUGGGUGUUCUGAAUUAUAUGCCUUUUUGACAUGUUACUCUUCUACUGUAUGCGUGUCUGUGUAUGUGUGUGUAUACUCCUAGGUUUGAUAUGCAGUUUACCCAUGAGACUGGGGUUGUCAGUAACUGCAGGGGGAUUAGAACCCUCGCUAUGCUUGUCAUUAAAGCACAUUCACAUGCAUACAAUGAAGGCAACUGGUCUUGUUGUCUCAUCUUUGCUUGAUUCAUUCUCAGCUAAGAUGUCCAUCUCACACUUGCAGGUUUGAUGCUGUCUCUUCAGAAUCUGAGCAGUCCUCCAGGAUGGCAGGGAAAACACCUAUUCACUGCUGUGUCCCCAGAGCCCAGCACAAAGCAUGGCAUGUAGUGAGUGCUUACUAAAGGUUUGUUGAAUGACUGAAUCAAGCAACCAAGGCCCUAGAAAGACAGGUCAAAGAACAUCCUUUUAAGAGACUUAGGACUUUAAAGAGGAAGAGGAUCUCGGCAUCAUAGAUGCCUUGACUUGGAAGAUACUAUGUCAGAUGUGCUCAGCUGGAUUCCAAACUGUGUCACUGCAAAAGCUUCGAGAAGAUAAUGACCAUGUCUCCUAUCAUGAAGACCUGGCGAGUGGAGAGUCUCCAGUAUGUCAGCCUGCAGGAGCUUCACUGGCUAGAACAGGGACUACGACUGAAGGCAAGGCCUGAGCCCUUUCCUCUUUGUAUCCCUGGUGGAACAGGCUAACAAUUCUGUCUGUGGAAGGCAUGGACGGCUGUGGAGAUGGUGUACCCUUAGCUUUGCCCACAAGGUUCCAAGGACAGAGCAACUCCCUAUCAAAAUAGAAACUCAAUAAAUAAUUCGUGGCAAAGAAUGAAACUGUGGGGUUAUGUGCAAAUAUAAAGCAUGUGAGCGGGUAUGCCCGUUGUACGUGGAGCCAGGAAGGAGGCGGGGCAGCCAUCCGCUGGUUUCUCCUGCCUGCCUCUGCAAACUACUCUGGUUACCCGGCCUCCACCGCAGGCCCUUGGCAGGGGCGGUGCGCUGGGUCUGCGCGGUGCUGGCAGCCGCAGAGUGGAGGGUGAACCCGAUGGCCUCUUCAGUCUAUUUAGCAGGCUCUGAGAUGUGUAAGUACAUUAUCUGCAAGGCUGGUAAAGAGCGCUUGGGGAGGAUUUGUGGGUCUGUGGGAAGGACAAAGAAAAAUGUUUUCUAAUAAAUUAUUCACCGUCUCACAA